CUCACCAGGGUGGAGUAGAGGGGCAGAAUCACCUCCCUCGAACUGCUGGCCACACUUCUUGUUAGGCAUUCCAGCAAUCCCUGUGUGCCCUCAGCCCCGGAAAAGAAAGAAAAAAAGGAAGUGAGGAGAUUUCUCUCCGGUGUGUGUCUGGGCUGGGGGGAGGCUGUGUUGCCCCCCCCUCCUGCCCCAGCUGAUGGGGCUUUGGGGUAUAACUGGGGGUGGGCUGGGGUGGGGGGCAGCUUUCUCCUUUCCCCAUCUCCCCUGGAAUCACUUACAGAAAAAAAAACAGGAAAAAAAAAAAAAAGAACCUAGAAAUGUUUACAAAGCACACUUUCCACAGUACCGUUAACCCUCUGGAUGCCAAACAGACACAUAAAGAGCCACUUUCCCCCCCCCCUUCAACCUGGGGGGGGGGUGGCUGCGCCGACAGCAUCGUCCUGCUUCCCUUUGGUUUUUAUUUCUUUUUAAUUUGUACACGCAACCCCCACUUGCUCCAUCUGCUGCGUGCACAUCUGGAGGGAGCUUGCUUUUUUUUUGGGAGGGGGGGGGAAUUGCUUCCUGCCCCUGCUCCCAGGCUUUUCCCUGCUGGGCUGUUGGGAACGUCUCCGCUCGGGGAGGUUUUGGCUGGGUGGGAGAUGCUGGCACCCGCUCCCUGCCCUCCCACAUGCACUUUAAGGCCAAACUUCUCUUUAUUUGGGCCCGCGGAGAGCAGGCAAAGGAUGCUCCCGUGGCCCUGUGAGGGUGGGGAUGCUGGGACCUUCCGCAGGGCUGUGUGGACUCUGGUCCCUUGGCGUUUUCCUCGUGGGGAAAGCGCUGUAGAAAUCCUCCUGGGAACGCCGACGUUGCCAUAGGUUUCUUGAGCCAUCCUUAGGGCGUUGGGAGAUCUCAUCUGCGCGCCAGCUUCCCGGGGGAGCAUCCCUGGAGCCUUUGGGAAGCAUCCCCAGCUCUCCCAGGAGAGCAUCCUUGAUGCCUCAGGGGAGCAUCCCCAGCUCUCCCAGGGGAGCAUCCUUGAUGCCUCAGGGGAGCAUCCCCCAGCUCUCCCAGGGGAGCAUCCCUGGAUCCCUUGAGGAGAGCAUCCUUGAUGCCUCAGGGGAGCAUCCCUGGAUCCCUUGGGAAGCAUCCCCAGCUCUCCCAGGGGAGCAUCCCUGGAUCCCUUGGGAAGCAUCCCCAGCUCUCCCAGGGGAGCAUCCCUUGAACCCUCGAGGAGAGCAUCCUUGGUCCCUCAUGGGAGCAUCCCUGGAUCCUUUGGGAAGCAUCCCCAGCUCUCCCAGGGGAGCAUCCCUGGAUCCCUCGAGGAGAGCAUCCUUGAUGCCUCAGGGGAGCAUCCCUGGAUCCCUCGAGGAGAGCAUCCUUGAUGCCUCAGGGGAGCAUCCCUGGAUCCCUCGAGGAGAGCAUCCUUGAUGCCUCAGGGGAGCAUCCCUGGAUCCCUCGAGGAGAGCAUCCUUGAUCCCUCGUGGGAAGCAUCCCUGGAUCCUUUGGGGGAGCAUCCCUGUCGUGGGAAGCAUCCCUGGAUCCCUCGGGGGAGCAUCCCCAGCUCUCCCAGGGGAGCCCAGGCUUUUUAAUCCCCUUUGAUAGGUUUGUAGAGUCUCUGAACCCUCGUAGACCUCCGUAGGUAGCUCUUGAUUUAAUUCCCUCCUAACUCCGUAGUGUUUUCCCCUAAGGCAGGAUUUUCUUCUGGACCCAACAGGUCUCUGGUUGCGUGGGACAACUUUUUCCUCUUUUUUUUUUUUUUAAGAAGAAUUCCUUGCCUAUGGAUAUAAAGACUAGACCAUCCAACCUCGUUUCCAUUUCUUGAAUGUCGAGUAUUACAAUGUAUAACACACGUUAGGGUGCUCUUUGGUGCUGUUUCAAUGGUAACCAGUGGAACUGACUUUUUUUUAAUAACAAAUAACAAUAAAGGAAACUUUAGGUACCGCUGGUUCCA
rnacentral:lncRNA from 1 species